AAGUGUAGUCGGUUAUCACGUCGGUCUCAUAUCAUAGAGUAUGACUAUUCCCAGCAAUAGAUAUCCGAAGGCCGCCAGUUCGAAUCUGGCAGGAAGCA